rnacentral:lncRNA from 1 species
CAGUAGAUCUUUCAAAAAUGUGAGCAAUCAAUUGAAUGAGUUUUUUGAUCACUUAUCAAGUAUCUUCAUAUGUAAUAACUUUAUUACAGUAGAUAAUAGAGAGUACUUACAAUCAGGAUAAAUGUCACUCUAUGCAUCUCUUAAUAGAUGCUUGAAUCUGUCGUGCACAGGCAUGUUACUGUCAUCCUCAGCCUUUUGUCUCGGGAUGAG